rnacentral:tRNA from 1 species
GGUGAGGUGGCGGAGUGGUCGAACGUGGCGGUCUUGAAAACCGUUGUAGCGAAAGCUACCGUGGGUUCGAAUCCCACCCUCACCG